rnacentral:rRNA from 1 species
GACGAACGCUGGCGGCGUGCUUAACACAUGCAAGUCGAACGAAGAGCGAUGGAAGCUUGCUUCUAUCAAUCUUAGUGGCGAACGGGUGAGUAACGCGUAAUCAACCUGCCCUUCAGAGGGGGACAACAGUUGGAAACGACUGCUAAUACCGCAUACGAUCUAACCUCGGCAUCGAGGAUAGAUGAAAGGUGGCCUCUACAUGUAAGCUAUCACUGAAGGAGGGGAUUGCGUCUGAUUAGCUAGUUGGAGGGGUAACGGCCCACCAAGGCGAUGAUCAGUAGCCGGUCUGAGAGGAUGGACAGCCACAUUGGGACUGAGACACGGCCCAGAGGCCUACGGGAGGCAGCAGUGGGGAAUCUUCCGCAAUGGACGAAAGUCUGACGGAGCAACGCCGCGUGAGUGAUGACGGCCUUCGGGUUGUAAAGCUCUGUUAAUCGGGACGAAAGGCCUUCUUGCGAAUAGUUAGAAGGAUUGACGGUACCGGAAUAGAAAGCCACGGCUAACUACGAG